UUGCGCAAUUGGUAAAUUUGUAAGCAAUAUUAGCAAUCUUAUUUCGGCGCGGCGGGCGUAAGCUUUCUCUCAGUUUCACGGCCCGGACGACAAGUCCUACCGGCCUCGCCCAACCAGGUGAGCCGGCGCCGACGGUCCUACCGGAUCGCACCGGCACCCGGGUCCGCACUGCCCAACCAGGCAGGCGACGAAAGCGGCGACAACAUCGCCAGCACCGGACAGAUUCCCCGAGGGGGCCGCAAGGCCCCUU
rfam:Pseudomonas sp. 63_8 DS1215_scaffold_308, whole genome shotgun sequence.